UCACACUCACAAGAAUCGAAGUGCAUUAUGGGUAUCGACAUUUUCAUAAAGGUAAGAGAUUUUUAAGAUUUGCUUGUUUUCUAUUUUCUGAACUGGCUUACGUUAUAUCUACAUUGUUUUGGAUUAUCAGUGCUAUUAAACAACAGACGACCAGGGAGCGGGGGAGUAGAAACAAGACCAGAACGUGUGUUCUGUAUGUUAAUACCAUGAAAUGUCCUGCAAUCGUCUUGCAUAGGUGUAAGAUAGGUGUGACUAAACAGUAAGAAAAAACACACUAGCCAGCUGAGACGAUGACCCACCGGGGUGGAGGAGAUGAUCAGCUACACACGACACCACUCAGUGCCACGAACUGAAGGUAACUUAUGUGUGCGCAGAAGAAAACCGACUGCUGUGGGGUAAACUCAGGAUGAGUACAGGAUGUCAGAUAGUCUUUUGAUGACAUUGAUCAUAAAGUAAAGUACUAUACAGGUAUGCCAAACCUUUACUGCAGAGGUUCUUAACUCUGGUCCUUAAGGUCCACAGUUUAGCUCCAACCCUAGUAAAAUACACCUGAACAGGCAAAUCAAGGUCUUCAUGAUUAAUAGAAAGUAACAGGCAGGUGAGUUUGAUAAAGGGCUUAAUUCUGUAGGAAAUGGACUUUGAGGCCCAGAGUUGAGAAUCACUGCAAUUAAGUUUUUUAUGGCCUUAUGCUGCUUCUCAUGUCAGACCAAAGAAAGAUUCUCACUUCAUUUUAAGUACUUCUGUUAACCUUAUUUACCUCAGAUUGGAUCCGCCUGCACAAACACUGUUUUAGACAACUGUGACAGGCACAAAAUGAUGCCUCACUAGUUUGUGGAGUCCUUUGGACAAAGGGUAGUAGUGAUUAUUGACUGUUUUGAAAUUUUCACAGAGAAAUCAUUCAGUAUAAAAGUGUGUGCCCAAAUGUCUUCUAUCUACAAGCACCACUGCGCUAUGAAGUUUUUGACAGAUCAUCUGAGAAGGGUCUGGCUGCAGACAUGCACAUGCACUCUCAGACUGCACCUCUGCAAAUGACGUCACUUGCAAUCUUUUUUAUUAUUUUUAUUUUAUUUUAUUAUUUAAAAAAUAGAAACAAAAACUGAUAUUCCCAGAAUUCCCUGCAUGAUACUCCACAUUUGAAAGUAUUUUGUUUAAAUAAUCAUGUUUCUUAAUAAUUUUGUUGUUUUUGUUAUCAGUUAUUUUUUGCACUUCUUUCCACAUAAUUUUGUGACCUCUGAACAAUAAAUGGAAUAAGCUUUUUGAGCUGUAUUUGGACGAGUGCGGAUCUCUUUCAUCUU